AUAUCAAUAAGCGGAGGAAAAGAAACCAACAGGGAUUGCCUCAGUAACGGCGAGUGAAGCGGCAACAGCUCAAAUUUGAAAUCUGGCUUCUUUGAAGUCCGAGUUGUAAUUUGUAGAGGAUGUUUCGGCUCUGGCUCUGGUCUAAGUUCCUUGGAACAGGACGUCAUAGAGGGUGAGAAUCCCGUAUGUGAUUGGAAGUCAGUGGCCAUGUGAAACUCCUUCGACGAGUCGAGUUGUUUGGGAAUGCAGCUCAAAAUGGGUGGUAAAUUUCAUCUAAAGCUAAAUACUGGCCAGAGACCGAUAGCGCACAAGUAGAGUGAUCGAAAGAUGAAAAGCACUUUGGAAAGAGAGUUAAACAGUACGUGAAAUUGUUGAAAGGGAAGCGCUUGCAAUCAGACUUGCUUGCAGCCGAUCAUCUGGUGUUCUCACCAGUGCACUCGGUUGUGAUCAGGCCAGCAUCAGUUUGGACGGUUGGAUAAAGACCUUGGGAAUGUAGCUUCUUUCGAGGAGUGUUAUAGCCCCUGGUGCAAUGCAAUCAGUCUGGACUGAGGACCGCGCUUCGGCUAGGAUGCUGGCGUAAUGGUUGUAAGCGA
rnacentral:rRNA from 1 species